AGUGAACGCUGGCGGUAGGCCUAACACAUGCAAGUCGAACGGCAGCACAGUAAGAGCUUGCUCUUACGGGUGGCGAGUGGCGGACGGGUGAGGAAUACAUCGGAAUCUACUUUUUCGUGGGGGAUAACGUAGGGAAACUUACGCUAAUACCGCAUACGACCUACGGGUGAAAGCAGGGGAUCUUCGGACCUUGCGCGAUUGAAUGAGCCGAUGUCGGAUUUGCUAGUUGGCGGGGUAAAGGCCCACCAAGGCGACGAUCCGUAGCUGGUCUGAGAGGAUGAUCAGCCACACUGGAACUGAGACACGGUCCCGACUCCUACGGGAGGCACCAGUGGGGAAUAUUGGACAAUGGGCGCAAGCCUGAUCCAGCCAUACCGCGUGGGUGAAGAAGGCCUUCGGGUUGUAAAGCCCUUUUGUUGGGAAAGAAAAGCAGCAGGUUAAUACCCCGAUGUUCUGACGGUACCCAAAGAAUAAGCACCGGCUAACUUCGUG
rnacentral:rRNA from 1 species